rnacentral:rRNA from 1 species
CGUAGGGUCCAAGCGUUGUCCGGAGUUACUGGGCGUAAAGCGUGCGCAGGCGGUGGCGUGUGCCCGGCGUGAAAGCCCCCGGCUCAACCGGGGAGGGUCGUCGGUUACUGCGUCACGUUGAGGAUGGCAGGGGUUGGUGGAAUGCCCGGUGUAGUGGUGAAAUGCGUAGAGAUCGGGCGGAACACCCGUGGCGAAGGCGGCCAACUGGGCCAUUCCUGACGCUGAGGCACGAAGGCGUGGGGAGCGAACGGGAUUAGAUACCCCGGUAGUCCACGCAGUAAACGAUGCAGACUAGGCGUGGGGGGGUUUGACCCCUUCCGUGCCGAAGCCAACGCGUGAAGUCUGCCGCCUGGGGAGUACGGCCGCAAGGCUA